GACGUAGGGCGCGAGCGUUGUCCGGAUUUAUUGGGCGUACAGAGCUCGUAGGCGGCUUGUCGCGUCGGCUGUGAAAUCCCGUGGCUCAACUGCGGGUCUGCAGCCGAUACGGGCAGGCUAGAGUUCGGUAGGGGAGACUGGAAUUCCUGGUGUAGCGGUGAAAUGCGCAGAUAUCAGGAGGAACACCGGUGGCGAAGGCGGGUCUCUGGGCCGAUACUGACGCUGAGGAGCGAAAGCGUGGGGAGCGAACAGG
rnacentral:rRNA from 1 species